GACGAACGCUGGCGGCGUGCCUAAUACAUGCAAGUUGAGCGAUGAAGCUUGGUGCUUGCACCAAUUUGAAGAGCAGCGAACGGGUGAGUAACGCGUGGGGAAUCUGCCUUUGAGCGGGGGACAACAUUUGGAAACGAAUGCUAAUACCGCAUAACAACUUUAAACAUAAGUUUUAAGUUUGAAAGAUGCAAUUGCAUCACUCAAAGAUGAUCCCGCGUUGUAUUAGCUAGUUGGUGAGGUAAAGGCUCACCAAGGCGAUGAUACAUAGCCGACCUGAGAGGGUGAUCGGCCACAUUGGGACUGAGACACGGCCCAAACUCCUACGGGAGGCAGCAGUAGGGAAUCUUCGGCAAUGGGCGAAAGUCUGACCGAGCAACGCCGCGUGAGUGAAGAAGGUUUUCGGAUCGUAAAACUCUGUUGGUAGAGAAGAACGUUGGUGAGAGUGGAAAGCUCAUCAAGUGACGGUAACUACACAGAAAGGGACGGCUAACUACGUG
rnacentral:rRNA from 1 species